AGAGAUGUGUGAUGACGCAUAUCAAUAAGCGGAGGAAAAGAAACUAACAAGGAUUCCCCUAGUAACGGCGAGUGAAGCGGGAAGAGCUCAAAUUUGAAGUCUUAAAGGGUUUCCCUUUACGAAUUGUAGUUUAAAGAAGUGUUUUCUGUUGGGGUUUCGGUAAAAGUUCUUUGGAAUAGGACAUCAUAGAGGGUGAGAAUCCCGUAUUUGACCGUUACUUUCCAGCUGUGUGAUACACUUUCAAAGAGUCGGAUUGUUUGGGAAUGCAGUCCAAAAUGGGUGGUAAAUUUCAUCUAAAGCUAAAUAUUGGCGAGAGACCGAUAGCGAACAAGUACCGUGAGGGAAAGAUGAAAAGAACUUUGAAAAGAGAGUUAAACAGUACGUGAAAUUGUCAAAAGGGAAGCGUUUGACACCAGUGUUGUUUUCUCGAAAAUCAAUUAAAAAUGGUGGGAUGUUGUGUUGUUAUUGACUUUAUCAGCUUUCUGCACUUUUUUUCCUAUCUUUUUUAAUGCACUUUUCGUUUAACAAGUCAACAUCAAUUUCUUUUGUUGUAAAAGAGUCAUUGGAAGGUGGCUUUCUUUUCGGAGAAAGUGUUUAUAGCCUUGUAACCUCUGCAAUCGGAGAGAUUGAGGUCUGCAGCGUAGAUCCUUCGGGGUUAGAUACAUUUGUGCUAAGUUAUAGUCUUUUCAUAGACAACUUGUUGACUAUGAUUAGAUCUUGUAGCUUACUCGCUUAUGCUAUUUUACCUACGCUUAGGAUGUUGAAGAUGUAGCACAUCAU
rnacentral:rRNA from 1 species